GUUCCAGGAAAUGAGUAAUGAACUGGUUUAAAUGUUAUUUUAUUUAAAAUUACAUAAGAGUAGAUCUUAAUUACCUAGGAGAUCUAGCCAGCAUUGAAAGGGUUAUUCAGUUGAUCUAACUGUUAGCCAGGGUUUUAUGGCCCUUCGCUGUGAAAAGCUUCGCUUCCUAUGUCUGUAAGGAUACCUCAUAAAUCGUGUAAGUCUUGACAGAAAAUGCUGUUUAGCCAUUGAAACGUGUAUAGCCAUUCCUUUUGUAUUGCAUAUCAUUUGAUACUGGAUAUUCAUUGAUUAUUGUCACGCAUGUUACAUAU